UGGGGAAUCUUGCACAAUGGGCGAAAGCCUGAUGCAGCGACGCCGCGUGCGGGAUGAAGGCCUUCGGGUUGUAAACCGCUUUCAGCAGGGACGAGGCCGCAAGGUGACGGUACCUGCAGAAGAAGCCCCGGCUAACUACGUGCCAGCAGCCGCGGUAAUACGUAGGGGGCAAGCGUUAUCCGGAUUCAUUGGGCGUAAAGCGCGCGUAGGCGGUUUGUUAGGUCAGGAGUUAAAUCUGGGGGCUCAACCCCUAUCCGCUCCUGAUACCGGCAGGCUUGAGUCUGGUAGGGGAAGGCGGAAUUCCAAGUGUAGCGGUGAAAUGCGCAGAUAUUUGGAAGAACACCGGUGGCGAAGGCGGCCUUCUGGGCCACGACUGACGCUGAGGCGCGAAAGCUAGGGGAGCGAACGGG
rnacentral:rRNA from 1 species